rnacentral:rRNA from 1 species
ACAUGCAUACAACUUAGAUUUAAUUCACUAGAUCCCAUUAGAACUUUGCAGUUAAGUGUGCUCAGGCUAGAGUAGUACUGGGAUGGGUGACUGCCCAGGAAGUCCUAGUAUUUUACAUGGC